rnacentral:rRNA from 1 species
UACGGGGGGGGCAAGCGUUGUUCGGAAUUACUGGGCGUAAAGGGCGCGUAGGCGGUUCGCUAAGUUGGAUGUGAAAACUCUGGGCUCAACCCAGAGCCUGCAUCCAAAACUGGCGGGCUAGAGUGCGGGAGAGGAUGGUGGAAUUCCCAGUGUAGAGGUGAAAUUCGUAGAUAUUGGGAAGAACACCGGUGGCGAAGGCGGCCAUCUGGACCGCAACUGACGCUGAGGCGCGAAAGCGUGGGGAGCAAACAGG